CCUACGGGAGGCAGCAGUGAGGAAUAUUGGGCAAUGGACGAGAGUCUGAACCAGCCAAGUAGCGUGAAGGAUGACUGCCCUAUGGGUUGUAGACUUCUUUUAUGAAGGGAUAAAACGAGGCACGUGUGCCUUUUUCCAUGUACUUUAUGAAUACGGAUCGGCUAACUCCGUGCCAGCAGCCGCGGUAAUACGGAGGGUCCGAGCGUUAUCCGGAUUUAUUGGGUGUAAAGGGAGCGUAGUUGGGUUGUUAAGUCAGUUGUGAAAGUUUGCGGCUCAACCGUAGAACUGCAAUUGAUACUGGCAGUCUUGAGUACAGUUGAGGUAGGCGGAAUUCGUGGUGUAGCGGUGAAAUGCUUAGAUAUCACGAAGAACCCCGAUUGCGAAGGCAGCUUACUAAACUGUGACUGACAUUGAUGCUCGAAAGUGUGGGUAUCAAACAGGAUUAGAUACCCCUGUAGUC
rnacentral:rRNA from 1 species